UACGGAGGGUGCAAGCGUUGUCCGGAUUUAUUGGGUUUAAAGGGUGCGUAGGCGGGUCUUUAAGUCCGUGGUGAAAGCCCGCAGCUUAACUGUGGAAUUGCCAUGGAUACUGGAGGUCUUGAAUUCAGUUGAGGUAGGCGGAAUUGAUGGUGUAGCGGUGAAAUGCAUAGAUACCAUCAGGAACACCGAUUGCGAAGGCAGCUUACUGGGCUUGAAUUGACGCUGAGGCACGAAAGCGUGGGGAGCGAACAGG
rnacentral:misc_RNA from 1 species